rnacentral:rRNA from 1 species
CCUACGGGGGGCAGCAGUGGGGAAUAUUGGACAAUGGGCGAAAGCCUGAUCCAGCCAUGCCGCGUGUGUGAAGAAGGCCUUCGGGUUGUAAAGCACUUUCAGUGGGGAAGAAAGCCUUGGGGCUAAUACCCUCGAGGAAGGACAUCACCCACAGAAGAAGCACCGGCUAACUCCGUGCCAGCAGCCGCGGUAAUACGGAGGGUGCGAGCGUUAAUCGGAAUUACUGGGCGUAAAGCGCGCGUAGGCGGUCUGAUAAGCCGGUUGUGAAAGCCCCGGGCUCAACCUGGGAACGGCAUCCGGAACGGCAGGGUAGGGCUGCAGGAGAGGAAGUUGAACUCCCGGGUGGGCGGGGAAAUUGGGUGAGAAUCGUGGGGAAACCCGGUGGCAAGGGGGGCCUCUGGAAGUACCCCACAGCGGGUGUGGCAAAGCGUGGGGACCAAACAAGAUUAGCUACCCCGGUAGUC